rnacentral:rRNA from 1 species
CACGUAAGGCGCAAGCGUUGUCCGGAAUUAUUGGGCGUAAAGAGCUCGUAGGCGGUUUGUCGCGUCUGCCGUGAAAGUCCGGGGCUCAACUCCGGAUCUGCGGUGGGUACGGGCAGACUAGAGUGAUGUAGGGGAGACUGGAAUUCCUGGUGUAGCGGUGAAAUGCGCAGAUAUCAGGAGGAACACCGGUGGCGAAGGCGGGUCUCUGGGCCGAUACUGACGCUGAGGAGCGAAAGCGUGGGGAGCGAACAGG